rnacentral:rRNA from 1 species
CUGGCUCAGGAUGAACGCUGACAGAAUGCUUAACACAUGCAAGUCUUUGGCGAAGCUGUGCUUGCACAGCCUAGCCAAGGCGGACGGGUGAGUAACGCGUAAGGGACUUGCCCUGCAGUCAGGGAUAACAGACGGAAACGACUGAUAAAACCUGGUAAAGUCAGGCGGACUCAUGUCCAGCCUGAUGAAAAGGAAUGCUGCAGGAGAGCCUUGCGUCCUAUUAGCUUGUUGGUGGGGUAACGGCCCACCAAGGCGAUGAUAGGUAGCCGGCCUGAGAGGGUGGACGGCCACAAGGGGACUGAGAUACGGCCCUUACUCCUACGGGAGGCAGCAGUGGGGAAUAUUGGACAAUGGGGGCAACCCUGAUCCAGCAAUUCUGUGUGCACGAUGAAGGUCUUCGGAUUGUAAAGUGCUUUCAGCAGGGAAGAAAAAAAUGACGGUACCUGCAGAAGAAGCGACGGCUAAAUACGUGCCAGCAGCCGCGGUAAUACGUAUGUCGCGAGCGUUAUCCGGAAUUAUUGGGCAUAAAGGGCAUCUAGGCGGCCGGGUAAGUCCGGGGUGAAAACUGCUGGCUCAACCAGCAGCCUGCCUUGGAAACUACCCGGCUGGAGUGCUGGAGAGGUGGACGGAACUGCACGAGUAGAGGUGAAAUUCGUAGAUAUGUGCAGGAAUGCCGAUGAUGAAGAUAGUUCACUGGACGGCAACUGACGCUGAAGUGCGAAAGCUAGGGGAGCAAACAGGAUUAGAUACCCUGGUAGUCCUAGCUGUAAACGAUGAUUACUGGGUGUGGGCAUGAAGAGUGUCCGUGCCGAAGCUAAUGCGAUAAGUAAUCCGCCUGGGGAGUACGGCCGCAAGGCUGAAACUCAAAGGAAUUGACGGGGACCCGCACAAGCGGUGGAGCAUGU